GUACGCUUGCUCUGCCGGUACACAUUCUAAAAUAUGAAUGAUACAGAGUAUCAUGGAUCCUGCACAAGGAUGACAUGCAGCUUCAUGAAACAGGCCAUAUUUUU